UACGUAGGGUGCAAGCGUUGUCCGGAAUUAUUGGGCGUAAAGAGCUCGUAGGCGGUUUGUCGCGUCGACUGUGAAAACCCGAGGCUUAACCUCGGGCCUGCAGUCGAUACGGGCAGACUAGAGUUCGGUAGGGGAGACUGGAAUUCCUGGUGUAGCGGUGGAAUGCGCAGAUAUCAGGAGGAACACCGAUGGCGAAGGCAGCUCGCUGGGACGGUACUGACGCUGAGGCGCGAAAGCGUGGGGAGCAAACAGG
rnacentral:rRNA from 1 species